rnacentral:lncRNA from 1 species
UGUGUAAGUCAUAGAGUUUGUAUUAAGGUUGUGGAAAAUGUAAUUUUCUUUUAUUGGAUCGAUCAUGCAGGAGAUUGUCGUUUGGUGAUUACGAUGAUCUUCUUUUCAUUGUUUCUGAGUUGUGUACGAGCAUUGUAGUAUAUUUUAUCACGAAAUCGCCAAACGGGGAGAUUGUUAAGGAUUUUUCUAGGUUGGCGGAUUUCGUAAAGUUGGAUGGAGUCUUGAAGAGUUGAUCGUGGAAGUUUGAAGAAAAGAUUCAAAUUGAAGAACAAAGACGCAUUCGGAAAGCUCGGCACCUCAGGUAUGAAGAAUAGAUCAUUUGUGGUGAAGUUAUUUAAUUGGAAUAAGUUCAGAAGACU